rnacentral:rRNA from 1 species
AUGAACCCCUCCUCGGCUCCGUGGCCGGAUGGCCUUCCCGUAACGUUCUUCAAAACGUUCUGGCAGACCAUCAAGCCAAAGGUCAUGGCCCUGUUUGAGGAAUUCUACUUGGGCUCCAUGGAUCUUGGGCGCCUUAACUAUGGGAUCGUUACCCUCAUCCCCAAGGUCCCGGGCGCAUCCGAUAUCUGCCAGUUCUGUCCCAUCACAGUGAUUAAUGUGAUAUUCCGGAUCCUGGCCAAAGGGUACGCCAAUAGAGUGACUCUGCUCGCUGACGCGAUUACCCACCCGAACCAAUCUGCCUUUGUACAAGGACGAUUUAUUCUGGAUGGGGUGUUGGUAUCCAUGAAGUCCUCCACGAAGUCCGGGUGAAACACCAUCGAGCAGUCUUCUUGAAGCUAGACUUCCACAAAGCGUAUGACACUGUCAAUUGGCCCUUCUUGCGGGAAAUGCUGCUCCGAAAGGGCUUUAACGACCGUUGGGUGA